GGUGGACGUAGUUCAGUUGGUAGAGCGCCAGAUUGUGGUUCUGGUUGUCGAGGGUUCGAGUCCCUUCGUCCACCCCAC
rnacentral:tRNA from 1 species